UNACGGCGUAAAGAGUGGUUAGGCAAAGAUAAAUACUAAAGCCGAAUGUUUUCAAAGCUGUUAUACGCCCACAAAACCGAGAAGCCCAACCACGAAAGUGCUUUACUAAGCCCUGAACCCACGAGAGCUAGGAAACAAACUGGGAUUAGAGACCCCACUAUGCCUAGCCGUAAACAUUGAUAGAUUAAUACACCCCCUAUCCGCCCGGGAACUACGAGCACCAGCUUGAAACCCAAAGGACUUGGCGGUGCUUUAGAUCCUACUAGAGGAGCCUGUUCUAUAACCGAUAACCCCCGUUCAACCUCACCUUUCCUUGUUUCCCCCCGCUAUAUACCGCCGUCGUCAGCCCACCCUAUGAAGGUCUAAAAGUAGGCUAAUUGGCAC
rnacentral:rRNA from 1 species